UACGUAGGGUCCGAGCGUUGUCCGGAAUUACUGGGCGUAAAGAGCUCGUAGGUGGUUUGUCGCGUUGUUCGUGAAAACUCACAGCUCAACUGUGGGCGUGCGGGCGAUACGGGGCAGACUAGAGUACUGCAGGGGAGACUGGAAUUCCUGGUGUAGCGGUGAAUGCGCAGAUAUCAGGAGGAACACCGGUGGCGAAGGCGGGUCUCUGGGCCGAGUACUGACGCUGAGGAGCGAAAGCGUGGGGAGCGAACAGG
rnacentral:rRNA from 1 species